CGCUUACGACCUCAGAUCAGGCGAGAC
rnacentral:rRNA from 1 species